AGAAAAGGANNNNNNNNNNAUGAUUCUGCUGUUUAUGGUUUCUUUUGGCUACAAGUAAUUCUGUGUCUGUUAAAUAGCCGAUAGGGCCUUCCCACUGAUAGGAGCGUAUUCCAGCACGGAGCCGAAGCCACAGGCAGGAGGAUGACAAACAGGAGGCAUACCAGGACCUGACAGGCUCGUUUUUGUCUUUCUCACACAGUAGUGCCAGUAAGAGAGAUCCCACCAGCCAAGUGCCACUUCGAGCCUCC
rnacentral:lncRNA from 1 species